GACCGGCCCCAACUCUUCACCCGUGUAUACCAAACUCACGUUGCUUUGGCGGGCCGCCGAACGCUUUCGCGGGAGGCCUUAAAACAAGCCUCCUCGUGCCCGCCGAAGGCCCCAAUAAAUCUGUUAUCAGUGUCGUCCGAGUCAAAACGCAAUAGUUAAAACUUUCAACAACGGAUCUCUUGGUUCCGGCAUCGAUGAAGAACGCAGCGAAAUGCGAAAAGUAAUGUGAAUUGCAGAAUUCCGUGAAUCAUCGAAUCUUUGAACGCACAUUGCGCCCUUUGGCAUUCCGAAGGGCAUGCCUGUUCGAGCGUCAUUACACCCCUCAAGCACUGCUUGGUAUUGGGCGUCGCCCCCGUGGCGGGCCCGGAUUUCAGUGGCGGUCCGGCGAGACUUCAAGCGUAGCAAGAUUUUCACAUCCCGCUUUGGAAGCCUUCUCGCCGUGCGCCGGCCAGACAAUCCCCUUAACAUACUCAUGAUUGACCUCGGAUCAGGUAGGGAUACCCGCUGAACUUAAGCAUAUCAAUAAGCGGAGGAAAAGAAACCAACAGGGAUUGCCUCAGUAACGGCGAGUGAAGCGGCAACAGCUCAAAUUUGAAAUCUGGCCCCUUCGGGGUCCGAGUUGUAAUUUGUAGAGGGUGUUUCGGGCGAGGCGUCGGCUUAAAGUUCCUUGGAACAGGGCGUCAUAGAGGGGUGAGAAUCCCGUAUGCGGCCGGCGACCGACCCCAUGUGAAACCCCUUCGACGAGUCGAGUUGUUUGGGAAUGCAGCUCAAAAUGGGUGGUAAAUUUCAUCUAAGCUAAAUACCGGCCGGAGACCGAUAGCGCAC
rnacentral:rRNA from 1 species